GAUGAACGCUGGCGGCGUGCCUAAUACAUGCAAGUCGAGCGAACGGACGAGAAGCUUGCUUCUCUGAUGUUAGCGGCGGACGGGUGAGUAACACGUGGAUAACCUACCUAUCAGACUGGGAUAACUUCGGGAAACCGGAGCUACUACCGGAUAAUAUUUUGAACCGCUUGGUUCAAAAGUGAAAGACGGUCUUGCUGUCACUUAUAGAUGGAUCCGCGCUGCAUUAGCUAGUUGGUAAGGUAACGGCUUACCAAGGCAACGAUGCAUAGCCGACCUGAGAGGGUGGUCGGCCACACUGGAACUGAGACACGGUCCAGACGCCUACGGGAGGCAGCAGUAGGGAAUCUUCCGCAAUGGGCGAAAGCCUGACGGUGCAACGCCGCGUGGGUGAGGAUGGUCUUCGGAUCGUAGAACUCUGUUAUUAGGGAAGAACAUAUGUGUAAGUAACUGUGCACAUCUUGACGGUACCUAAUCAGAAAGCCACGGCUAACUACGUG
rnacentral:rRNA from 1 species